AGAAAAGUAUUUAAAAUAAUAAAUUCUAAUUUGCAUUUAGACAUUGGUUUACCCUUUUCUG
rnacentral:tRNA from 1 species